UACAGAGGUCUCAAGCGUUGUUCGGAUUCAUUGGGCGUAAAGGGUGCGUGAGGUGGCGUGGUAAGUCGGGUGUGAAAUUUCGGAGCUUAACUCCGAAACUGCAUUCGAUACUGCCGUGCUUGAGGACUGGAGAGGAGACUGGAAUUUACGGUGUAGCAGUGAAAUGCGUAGAGAUCGUAAGGAAGACCAGUGGCGAAGGCGGGUCUCUGGGCUGACACUGACGCUCAUGCACGAAAGCGUGGGGAGCAAACAGG
rnacentral:rRNA from 1 species